AUGUUCCCUGCAUCUCUGCUGUUGGUGCUGGCAGCUGUAUCCUGUGUGUUCUGCCAGACUGAGCUCACACAGCCAGGCUCUAUGAUCCUGCAGCCUGGACAGCCUCUGACCCUCUCCUGUCAGGUCUCUGGGUAUUCAGUAACCAGCACCAGCUACUGUACAGGUUGGGUACGACAGCCUGCAGGAAAAGCACUGGAGUGGGUUGGAGAAAUGUGUGGCAGUGGUGGCAUAUACUACAGUGAUAAGCUGAAAAACAAGUUCAGUAUCUCCAGAGACACUUCCAGCAGCACAGUGACUUUAACAGGACAGAGUCUGCAGACUGAAGACACAGCUGUGUAUUAUUGUGCUCGACGACCAUGGUGAUACAAACCAACACCGAACCUGUACAAAAACUCUAUGACAUUCAUAUGAGUAUAAACACUACAACACAAAAUUGCAUAUCAGUUAAAACACAUACAGUGGGGAGAACAAGUAUUUGAUACACUGCCGAUGUUGCAGGUUUUCCUACUUACA